UACUGAAGCACCGAGAGAGAACAUUUUGUAUUCCUGCUUUGCGAAUGUGCCUCGAAAACCUGAGACUAAUGAGACCAAGUUCUCACCCCAGCUGUGAACUUGCUGACUUUCCUGCUUGGAAACCCGAGCAGAGCUUCUGAACAUUGGCUGUGGCAAUACCCAGCCAGACAAAGGAGGCUUCCGGGUAAUAAGAACCAGCACAGAGCCAUUUGUUACAGGCAAAGCCUUGCCGAAGAAACGACGUAUGCUAAGAAAGAAGCUCUGGAGAGAAAGAAGCAAGCUUGACAACCCUCUACCCACGCAGCCAAACCUGGGUGACACUGGUGAAGCCGCAACUUUAUGUACUGUCUGUCUCACUCCAUUUCUCUCUUUCUUUCAGAAAUAGCUUUCAUAUUCAAGUUGUUGAAUACCCAGUAAUUUGGAAUUCUCAUAUGUUUCCUAUAUGUGAGCAAUAUGUUUCAUUCUGGAGAGAGAAGACAUUGUGUGACACGAGAUCUUGGGUUGACUCAUUUUUUUUUUUUAAAAUAGCAUUUAGUGUUGGUCAGAAUUCUGCCAGUUAUCAGCUUCCCCUUCAAAUGUAUCCCCCAGGCCUCCAGUAAUACUUCUCCUGCUCCACACAGAUCUACUCUCAUGAAGGGAAGACUUCUAUUUUAAAGGGCAUCACAUUCACAUUGAGGAAUGUCCUGGGUCUUGAAGUAUCUGAAGCUUCUUCUAACAGACAAACGGGGUUGGAAAGAUGGCUCAGUGGU
rnacentral:lncRNA from 1 species